rnacentral:sRNA from 3 species
CAUAUCUCUCUUACGGGAAGGAUGAGAAGCUUCGACUAAGGUUCGAUUCGAGCGAAAGCGAGAAAGCGUUGCCGCAGGCAACGACCCGAAGGGCGAAACGCGCAGCGCUGAGUCAUCCUUCCCCCACCACCA